rnacentral:rRNA from 1 species
UCGGGAAUUUUGGGCAAUGGGGGAAACCCUGACCCAGCAACGCCGCGUGAAGGAUGAAGUAUUUCGGUAUGUAAACUUCGAAAGAAUAGGAAGAAUAAAUGACGGUACUAUUUAUAAGGUCCGGCUAACUACGUGCCAGCAGCCGCGGUAAUACGGAGGAUCCAAGCGUUAUCCGGAAUCAUUGGGUUUAAAGGGUCCGUAGGCGGUUAGAUAAGUCAGUGGUGAAAGCCCAUCGCUCAACGGUGGAACGGCCAUUGAUACUGUCUGACUUGAAUUAUUAGGAAGUAACUAGAAUAUGUAGUGUAGCGGUGAAAUGCUUAGAUAUCAAGAGGAACACCUGAGGUGAAGACGGGUUGCUGGGCUGACACUGACGCUGAGGCGCGAAAGCCAGGGGAGCAAACGGGAUUAGAUACCCACGUAGUCCCUGAGCGGGCUGGCAAGGCGCAU